rnacentral:rRNA from 1 species
GUGCCACGCGGUAAUACAGAGGGUGCAAGCGUUAAUCGGAAUUACUGGGCGUAAAGCGUGCGUAGACGGUUAUGUAAGUCGGGUGUGAAAGCCCCGGGCUCAACCUGGGAAUGCCAUUCGAGACUGCAUAGCUAGGGUGCGGAAGAGGGAAGCGGAAUUUCAGGUGUAGCGGUGAAAUGCGUAGAUAUCUGAAGGAACACCAGUGGCGAAAGCGGCUUCCUGGUCCAGCACCGACGUCAGGCACGAAAGCGUGGGGAGCAAACAGG